GAUCUUACCUGCAGUGGAAGAGAUGAAAUAUAAUUGUUUAAUAACAUUAUCAGUUUUAAACACAGUUGCUUGAUUACAGGAAUCAUAUUAGUAUUCAAAAGUAGCCUAAAAUGUAAUAUGAACCGGACAAAUUAUUUUGAAUUUUGUCAAACGUGUCAAUGUAAUGGAGCCGAAUGUCAAAUGCCUGCCAAUGUAAUGGAGCUGAGAGCCACAAACCUGCAAUUGUUAUGGAACCGAAUGUCAAAUGCCUGCCAAUGUAAUGAAGAUGAGAGUCGCAAUCUUGCCACUAUAAUGAAACCGAUGGCUAGAAACGCGCGACCUUCAUCAGUUGGCGAAAUGAAAUCUGCGGAAAUCCCCAUGUAACAGGGAGGAUUGAUGUUAUUGAACAGAAGGACAACCCAGUUAACCCAAAACAUGCACAGCCUCGUCUUUGAACCGGGAAAAAGAUAUACUAGCACUCCAACCGUGUAAUGGAACGUGCAUCGCCUCACCCGGAAACCGAGGUAAAGUUUGGCCCUAGACGUGGUAGGGGACGUUCAUAGCCACACAAGAGAACUGAGAAAAUAGACUCCUAACGUAUUUUAGGACGUGUACAUCCUCGUCUGGGAACCGAGAGGAAGACAGGCUCACAACUUUGUAUCAAACGUUUACCGGCCUAGUCGGGAACCGAAAACAAGCUAAGAUCCAAAAGCAGUGUGGUACUUUUACCGCCUCACCCAGAAACCGAAAAAGACACUAGAUUCCUAACGUAGUUUGAGACAAUUAUAUGUCGUAUAUUCAAACAUGUUUAAGCUGCUUUAAAGUGACAAGAAUUGAAAAUAUAGUGGAUCCAUAGUAUCUUACACUGAUUGCCAAUUAAUACAAAAGAAUAUAUGAGACGGGUACGUUUGCUUACGUAUAAAGCCAGCCGAGUUCAAUAUUUCAAAACGUAAUUUUUAUUCAUUAUAUUUUCAUAAUAAGUAACCCGAUACGUUGGUUGUGACAGCGAUGGAAAUCUUUUCUAAAUCAUUGCAAAUCGAUUUUGAAAUAUCAGGGUGUAGGUUAUAUAAAACAUUUAAUUGCUUUUAACCGACAGUUAAAAUUGAUAUCUUAAAUCUCAAACAUAAACUGUCUGUGUAGAUUUAAAUUCAACAUGAUUAAGCUAUAAAGUGAAAAGAACGGACAAUUUAGUGGGUAUAUAGGAUCUUAUAAUGUUUACCACCUUAAUACAAACAAAAUAUGACGAUUAUAUAUGCAUUCUUAUUUAGCCAGCCGAGUUUAAUAUUUCAGAAGUUUUAUUUUCUUAAUAAAAAACCCUUGCGUUCGGUGAAACAGCUAUGGAAAUCCCCUCUAAAUCACUGCAAAUUCUACUUUCGAUUGCGAAACAUCAGGGUGUAUGUUAUAUAAAGCAUUGAAUAGCUUCCAACCUACAGUUAUUUUUUUAUUUUUUUUAUCUCAAACCUCAAACAUGAAUCUUUACCUUUGCAUCGUUUAUAUUUGGUGCAAUAGAACGAGUAAUUAAUUAACAUUUGGAAAAAACUAACCAUAAACCGUAUUAUUUAAACACUUUGAAAAAGCCAAAUCCAGUAAGCUUAAAUGUCAAAGACAACCAAAUAUGUUUUAUAUAACGAAAUAAAAUUUGCGUAAUUUUGAAAUUCUACUUUCGGUUUCAGGUUUAAUUGUCAAUUCAUGUGGUCAUUUAUAUGCGAAAAACACACGGUAUGAAUCGGUAUUAAUCCAAUCAAUUAAAAUACUUUAAAACGCAAUGUUUUCAAAGAAGUCAAAAUAAGAUAUGUAAUAGGUUAUUGAUUAUUAAAGCUAGUUAUAGUCGACAUGUAGAUUUGUUAAAAUCUAUAACAUAUAUCUAACGGCAAUUACCUUCCCAAAUCAAAUCAGAGCGUUAAAUUUGUGUACGCAAUAAAGUGACAGCCCCCUGGCAUGGAUAAUUGAUGAUCGUACAUAGGAGGAUGCGCAACAAGAAUAUACAAGAUACAAGAAUAUUUAUUCAACGUCUGGUAUGUUCAAAGUAUGAAGUACAUUAUGAAAUGAGAAUAACGGAUUUAGGAAUGAAGACUAAAUUUUGAUAUCACCACAUCUUAAUGGUACAUUGAGAGACAGGAGUAAGAAAUUAAAUUUUAAUUCAAACAGAGCAAGCUUUUUUUCUAAAUUUUCUUUGCACUGAUAUCAGCUUAAAAGAAGUCUCUUAUUCUAAAAAAAGCGUUCUUGUUGUAUUACUUUUAAAUCACGAAAAACGACUCUUCAUUCAUGUAUUGAAAAGCACUACAAAAUAAAUAACGGAGCCACUUCGCAAAUCCUUUUUUCUGUCAAAUAAAACAACAACAUACAAUAAGGGCCAUGACAACGUAUCUGGAACAAUUUGAAACUAAAAACAACAACAACAUAAGCUAUGCAUCACAGAAGAAGUGAUAAAACAAUCUCCUCAGUGUAAUGAUUUACAAUGGAAUAUAUCUCUUUAAUUUAGUUAUAUUGGCAGAGAAAUUAAUUUUUACAAGUUUCGCCUUUAUAGGGCAAAGGUAGUUUACACAAAAUGAGGUAUUUCGCACUUACAGUAAGUCUUUACAUGUAAUAUAAAUUUCUCUGGUAUUAGUUAAAAAAAACAACCUUUAGGCUGAGACAUCCUUACAGAGUUAUAUCAAGUACUACUAGUUAUUCAAAUUUACAAAAAGGGUACAAUUUAAUUUAAUUAUUAUUCAUGGAAAUCAAUCAUUUAAGCCCAACGCAACUGUUUUUAUAAAGACAAACCAUUUUAAGAAAAUAAUGGUUGAAACUAUUUUUGAUAAUACCUUGCCCUUUCUUUGCAUUGUUUCAUGGUCCAAAAUUAAACAAAUUUCAAUAAUCAUCAUGUUUACUCGGCAUUGUCUCUAAGCAUUUUUUUUUAUUUUAUCAAAAAAUAGUAAAAAGUGCUUUGCAGCAUCAAAAACGUCUUUUAAAGAAGGCGUCUGGCAUGAAAACUCAUAAAAAUAUAAUAUUGUAUAUAAAGAAAAAAGCUAGGUUUUAAGAUUGUUUACAACUGUUGACCAAAGAAUGUUUCACAUGACUGUUAUUCUGACCAAAACGGACAUGUUUCGUUAAAUGAAGUGUAUGCUUUGUGAUAGAUGCGUUAACAUAUGUUAAUAAAGAUCUAUUUUACAGAUUGUCAAAUUCGUCAAACUAUUGAAAUAAAUUGGUUUGUUGUUUUCAAUUUAUCUUACAAUAAAAGAAAAUAACUUUCAAACAAAUGUUUUGUUAACCUAGAAUAGUCACGUGAUCUAGGCGCGAACACUCGAAUUUUGAAUGUGGAAAUAAUUUUGGAAUUAAUUAAGAAUAAAAGCUUUAUAAAAUUAGUUGAAUGGUGGAUUUAAUGUAGUUUAGUGGUUGGAACACAUUCACAAUGAAAUAUAAUGACUAAAUCGAAAAAUAAGAAGAGGAAAGAUAGAAAUAGUAGUGGCAAUGAAACCAACAGUCGGAAAAUAUGUAAACAAAGAGGUGGGGUGCCCGAGGAUAACACCAGCGGGAGUGAGACGGCGGAAGCCACGGAGAGGAAGCUACGCCAACAUCUAUAGGACGCCUUCAAGAUCGCCCGCGAGAUGGCCGAGAGCAUCCGGUUUGAGCGGGUGCAUCGGUCACCAGGCGCGCCGGUGACGGGGAAGAUCAGGAACAUUGUGGCCAAGUUCACUUUUUUCAAGGACAGAGAAAUGGUUAGGAAAUCGUGGAAACAGCUGGAUGGGACCGUGUUUCGUGUUUUCGAACAGUUUCCGCCGGAUGUAAUUCAGAAGAGGAGAGUACUAGUUCCGAAGAUGAAGGAGGCGAGGC